AACGGUCUAUACCUGCGGUACCUGCGGAAGGAUCAUUACCGAGUUAUCAACUCCCAAACCCCUGUGAACAUACCCGAACGUUGCCUCGGCGGGACCGCCCCGGCGCCCCUAGCGGCCCGGAACCAGGCGCCCGCCGGAGGACCCAAACUCUUGCUUUAAACAGUGGCAUACUCUCUGAGUCUCACAAACAAAAAUAAAUCAAAACUUUCAGCAACGGAUCUCUAGAUCGGAAGAGCACAC
rnacentral:misc_RNA from 1 species